GACGAACGCUGGCGGCGUGCUUAACACAUGCAAGUAGAACGGAAAGGCCAUGCUUUUGUGGGGUGCUCGAGUGGCGAACGGGUGAGUAAGACGUGAGUAACCUGCCCUAGCCUGUGGGAUAACUUCAGGAAACUGGGGCUAAUACCGGAUAGGAGCUCCUGCUGCAUGGUGGGGGUUGGAAAGUUACGGCGGGUGGGGAUGGACUCGCGGCCUAUCAGCUUGUCGGUGGGGUAGUUGCUUAGCAAGGUUUUGACGGGUAGCCGGCCUGAGAGUGUGACCCGCCACAUUGGGACUGGGAUACCGCCCAGACUCCUACGUGGGGCAGCAGUGGGGGAUAUUGCGCGCUGGGCGGAAGCCUGAUGCAGCAACUCCGCGUGCUGGAUGACGGCCUUCGGGUUGUAACCCGCUUUCGCCUGUGACGAACCGUGAGUGACGGUAAUGGGUAAGGAAGCACCGGCUAACUACGUG
rnacentral:rRNA from 1 species